rnacentral:misc_RNA from 1 species
GAUGAAGAACGUAGCGAAAUGCGAUAAGUAAUGUGAAUUGCAGAAUUCAGUGAAUCAUCGAAUCUUUGAACGCACAUUGCGCCCGCCAGUAUUCUGGCGGGCAUGCCUGUUCGAGCGUCAUUUCAACCAUCAAGCCCUGUGCUUGUGUUGGGGGCCUGCGGCUGCCGCAGCCCCCUAAAAGCAGUGGCGGGCUCGCUGUCAUUCCGAGCGCAGUAACUUAUCUCGCUUUGGUCGUGGCGGUGGGCACCUGCCGUAAAACACUCUUUUUCACAAGGUUGACCUCGGAUCAGGUAGGAAUACCCGCUGAACUUAAGCAUAUCAUAAGCGGAGGA